rnacentral:lncRNA from 1 species
GGAAGCACAAACGCAGAGAGCUGAGGGGCUGGCUUUGCUCCUCAGUAAGCGGAGGGCUCGGGCCAGCAGAUGUGGGACGGCUCUCCAGAAUGGCCAUGCGGCGCAGCUGUUAUGGGAUCCUUGGGCUGUCACUUUUCUGGCCAGAAACCUCCAUGGCCAGUGGCACCUUUGUCCAGUUUUGAUUGGGUCUGGGCUUGUGCUGCCCACUCGGCCUGGCAGGCUGUACUCAGCUCACGCUACCGGUCUGGAUCCCACGCCUGCCAAGGGCAAGUCAGGGCUCCUGCUGCUGUGGUGUGGGACCUUCGAGCAGCCUGUGGAAGUCAUCCUGUGAGGAACUGUGGCCUCCCCCAAGCAGCGCAUAUUGGAGGCAGAGGCUUCAGCCCCAGUCAAACCCUCAGAUGAUGGCAGCCCCAGCCAACGUCAUGACGCAGCCUCUGGAGAGACCCUGAGCCAGGGCCACCCACCCGAACUUACCCUGGAUCCUGACCCACAGAAACUGCAAGUCGAUAAAGGCACUGGGCUAAAUGCAUCAAAAGGAUCUCACCAUCUUCCCAGCAGCCCACAGGGAGCAGAGGUUUUCAUUACCAUCAUUCUCAGAGGACACGACUGGGGCUCAGAGAGGGGAAGAAACCUCUCCAGCUUGCACAGCUGAGUCAUUCCCCAAAUGGAUGAGACCCCAGCACAGGAGAAAUGCAUGACAGCCAGAUAAUAAACCUGCAUAUCAGAACUGUCAGAUCGUCUUCAGAGCAAAAGGCAACAUGCUCUCCCGAGGUAAGAUCCUAACUGUUGUCAGGAACAUAUGCCAGGGGUGGGGGGUGGGGAGCGGCUCAGGACGCGGCGCUGGCAGCCCCCAGCCCAUCAAAUUCACUCCAUCUAUCUCGGGCUG